UACGUAGGGUGCGAGCGUUAAUCGGAAUUACUGGGCGUAAAGCGCGCGUAGGCGGCUUUGCAAGUCGGGUGUGAAAUCCCCAGGCUCAACCUGGGAACUGCAUUCGAGACUGCAUUGCUAGAGUAUGGGAGAGGGAAGUGGAAUUUCCGGUGUAGCGGUGAAAUGCGUAGAUAUCGGGAGGAACAUCUGUGGCGAAGGCGACACCCUGGACCAGCACUGACACUGAGGCACGAAAGCGUGGGGGAGCAAACAGG
rnacentral:rRNA from 1 species